AUCAUGGCGUACAUUAUAGAAUUCAUUGUCAAGGCAUAUGGGAUUCUACUCAUAUGCUCUCUCUCUUGAGGGGUUAUCGAAAAUCCUUCUUCGAGAGAAAAAUUUUAUGACCUAUCAAAAGAUAGUCUUUUUUGAAAUUUUCCAUACUGAACCAUUUCAGUAUGGUAUCUAUGUACGUAGAUUGGGAAAACUCAAGCAGCCUCUUAAAUCUAUCCCUAU
rnacentral:lncRNA from 1 species